rnacentral:lncRNA from 1 species
CUAUAGCUAUUGGUCAGUAGUAGAAGUUGUAGUUGCUGACGAAGGCCAUGCCGAACUGCCACCACGCCGGCACGACGUUGUUGAUCCAGAGCGUCUGGCCGCCGGUGGAGGUGACGAUGAAGGAGAGCUCCUGCCCGACGAGCGCCGAGUUGCACUGCCAGUUGGCGCCCCAGUUGCGGUUCAGCGCGAUCCACCCCGUCUUGGUCCCCUUCACCGACACCGACCGGAUCGACCCGCUCCCGCCCACGUUCGCGAAGUUCAUCAGCUGGAAGAAGGUGGAUCCUCCGAUGGUGAUCCGGAUCCCUCCCUGCCUCCAGCACGUCACCCUGCACACGCCACCAUGGCCGAUCAGCUCGCGAGCUCAUCGGAGAAGGAAACGAAGGUGUGGUAGACGACGACAUGAUCGAUGACUUACUGCUGGUAGAGGACGGGGAUGAUGCCGGCCUUGUAGACGCCGAUGCGCUCCCAGGCGGGCUGCGCCAUGUCGAAGUGGGGCCGCGGCGGGUUGCACCAGCCGCCGCGGUUGCUGGGCUGCGCCCAGUUGGGCGGGCAGAAGUUGGUGGCCGUGACGGUCACGGCGGCGCCGCCCUUGCACCAGGGGGACGCGUUGCUGUCGCACAUGAUCAGGUAGCACUGCCCGCACGCCGCGCCGUCAUUGAACAGCACCGAGCUCAGCGCCGCCGUGUUCGUCCCGUACCCCGCCUGGUACAGGUUCCCGUACCCGCACGCGCCACCUUCAUCAUCAUAUCACGCCGUACAGCAUCGUGUUAGCUAGCUCCAUUUGGAAAAACUACUGUAAGAUUCGUACAAAAAUGGAUCUUGGAUUUAAAAACUAGUGUAAAUAUUUACCCAUUGUGCCGGAGGCGUCGGGGCCGCCGUAGAACGUCGCCGUCCCGUAGUUCCAGCCCUUCGCCGGCGCGAAGAACGUCGCCGUUAGGACGGCGAUGAACAAUGUGAGGACUCUGUCCAUCUCUGCUCAGAGACCGGU